GUGAAGUCGUAACAAGGUAGCCGUAGGGGAACCUGCGGCUGGAUCACCUCCUUAAUCGACGACA
rnacentral:rRNA from 1 species